GCGCCCGUAGCUCAGCUGGAUAGAGCGUCGGCCUUCGAAGCCGAAUGUCGUAAGUUCGAAUCUUACCGGGCGUGCCA
rnacentral:tRNA from 3 species